rnacentral:rRNA from 1 species
UACGGGGGGGGCAAGCGUUGUUCGGAAUUACUGGGCGUAAAGGGCGCGUAGGCGGCGCAACAAGUCACUUGUGAAAUCUCCGGGCUUAACUCGGAAAGGUCAACUGAUACUGUGCGACUAGAGUGCAGAAGGGGCAACUGGAAUUCUCGGUGUAGCGGUGAAAUGCGUAGAUAUCGAGAGGAACACCUGCGGCGAAGGCGGGUUGCUGGGCUGACACUGACGCUGAGGCGCGAAAGCCAGGGGAGCGAACGGG